rnacentral:lncRNA from 1 species
AAUGAAGACUAUCCAUUUACACUCGAGCCGAGGUGCAUUAUUAAAGACAUUACAAUGUUCUAUAUUAUCAAAUGACUGAUGUCCUUUACACUCGAGCCUAGGUGUAUUAUUAAUGACAUACCGAAGUUUUAUGUGUUCUUUAUGGUGUCUGACUUUUAUACUCGUGCCUAUGGUAUUUUAUUAUAGACUUUACAAUGUUUUAUGUUUUCUAUGUAUAUAAGUAUGAACAAUCAAAUGUGAAGUAUACAAUAUGACAAUAUAUAAUAAGAAUUGAAAAUCGGUUUUUAAACAAAUAACUCUGCAGUUUCAAAUAGUUUAUUAAAAGGGUUUUCAAUCCUUAAAAAUGUACAAGUAUGAAACCAUUUACCUAAAAUCAUAAGUUUAAGUAAAAGAUAUUCUUGUACUCUUGGUUGUAUUCCCCCCCUGAAAACAUUUAAAAAAACCAUUGAAAAAGGGUAGGGGUAUGAACUCACCGGACGCGAAAAGUGUCGAAUGGCAUGCUAAACGUCGAACCAAGGCUUGAAUACGAGCGUGGUUCCUAUCUAAUAUUAAAUAAUACACAAUACAUAUCUAAUUAGAUUUAAAUAACUAAUUAGAUACACUUGUACAUUCUAAGACGCGAAAACACUCCAAAAUGAGUGAUUGAAGUGACCCGGGUGGUGUUUCAGGACAUGAAUGGCUAGGAUAUAGAUUUUACUCUUCAAGGGUAAAUUCUAGGGAGUGUUCACGGCCUAAACACCACAUCCCCAUGAGUUUAUGGUCAUAAACUCAUGGUGGGUGUUUUUAUGAGCUAAAUGGCCUUAAAUCAAAUAAUUGGUGUUGCUAGGUUUGGCUUUUGGACAUUUGAAAGGGACAAAAUCAUUAUAUGAAUUAAUAGAAGAGUUUAGGGAAGUAAACUAAGAGUUUACGGCCAUAAACUCUCACCCACAUCCAACUUAAUUAUUUUGAAGGCCAAGGAUUAAUCACAAGUGAUUCAACUAAUUUUUACAAGGCUUAGGGUGAGUUUAAGGCUUCAAAUGGCAUCCAUCUAGGAGUUUACGGCCCUGGAGCAUAUGCUUUGGCCGUAAACUCUCAAUUAGAGUGUUUAUCAUGAGUUUAAGGCCUCUAAAUGAUUUUUGGUUGGUUCUAGGAUUUAUUCCAAGGCUUUUGGUUGAGUUAUUUGGCUUUCUAACAUGUUGGAAAUGAGUUUACACUCAUGUUUGAGGGGUUUAUGGCCCAAGCACAUGCCUUGGCCGUAAACUCAUGCAAAUCCCUCAAAAUCAUUGUCUAAGGUGUGCUAAGUCCAUUUCAUGAAGUCAUAUAGCCAUAUCUAAAGUCUAGUUGUGGUUUGGAAGGGUUUUAAGGCUCAAAAACCCCAUUUACAUGUGUUCACGACCUAAGAUUGAUCCAGGGCCGUAAACACAUAUUUAUGGUCUUAUCCCAUGAUUUAAACACGAAAAUGAAUCCUAAGGAUGUUAUACUAGGAGCUAGGAUGCUUACCUUGGUGUUCUAAGGCUUGAAAUGGUUGAUUUUGGCUUAACAAUAUGGAUUUGAGGAGAGAGGUUAGAGAGAGAGUGAAAAAGCUUCAAAUGAGGCUUAAUCCACUUUAAAUAUGGUUUGAAUUAGAUACACAGUGGAAUUUUACCCGAUACCGAUGUUAACUGAUGCUUUGGGUCGCACCCGAUUAAGUUGUCGUUACCCGAUAUGGUCGAAACUAUAAUUUUUCAAAUUACUAGCUCGUGACGUUUUCGCAUGUUUCCAACAUGUUUGGAUACUUACCAAGUCAAAAUGAAGGUUUUGACUUAAUUGACCUAGUUCAAGACGAAAUCGGAACAAUUCGCUUAAGACGAGUUUUGACGGAACGGUUACGGCGAGGAAGCAAAGUUUCGGGUUGUUACAUUAUCCCCCCGUUAGAGGGAAUUUAGUCCUGAAAUUCAAGAAUUGAGAUAGAAAAUUAUGGACAAAGUGUGUGGAUGUGUCUGCUGUAUCAAGUCUUCGCGCUCCCAUGCGAAUUCAGGUUCUCGCUUGGAACCUUCACUAACGGGACGUGGCUCGGUUUCAUACGCUUGAUUACUUGGUCUAUGAUCUUAGUUUUGCUCGUCAAGAGAGUUUGGGUAUAUCAAGGUUCUUGGUCACACUAGAAUGGAUUUCUGUGGUUUUAUCAUACAUGUAUUCAUUAAGUAUAGAGGUUCAAGGUACAGGAUGAACGCUGCUAAUUACUGAAGGUAUUUUGGAGCUGAAGGCUAAGGAAUCAAUCCGAAUCAGGAUCUCAAAGGGUCUAAUGUACCACAGACUAAGUUUUCCAUGCCUUAUCAAUUUUACUAUGGGUGUCUUUGGUGCCGAACAAUUCUCUAUUGCUUCGAUCUUAGGAGGAUCUACGCGUACUUCUUCAUCGUCUACUACAUGAUCGGAAAGAAAAUGGUUUGAUCGAAGGUUAUCAAUGCGAACUCUCAGUGAUCAUAUCUAAUCCUAAAUGUUGCCUUUGAAACAUGAACUCGUAGCUGGUGGUGUCUCGACCUGAGGCAUAUCUUCGAGGAGUAGUUGGCUCUCUGAAGUUAUCGAAGAAAUCAUCUAUUCAGAAAAGAGAAUAUCGGUUUUGACAGUCAACUCAUUAAGCCGAUUGGAUAACUCAUGUAUCUCUGCUGGAGCAAAGCGAUACGGAGGUUUGGCUACGGGGAUAGAUCCAGGGAUUAAGUUGAUAUGAAACUCAACUUGGCGUUCGGAAGGAAUUCUCGGGAUCUAUUCGGAAAGAUAUCAGGAACAUUAUAGUCCUCGGGGCGUUCUUGGGAUCUUUAACUCCUUGUUUCUCGCUGAUCACAUGGACUAGGAAUACUUGACACUUCUUUCGCUGGAACUUUCGAGUUUUGACAUAGUGAACGAAGUGAAGAUUUGGGCUAAACUCGCCACCAUGAAUUAUGAGGGUCUGAUCAGAAGGAAGAUUGAGACGAAUAGCUUUCUAUAAUGAGGUGUAUCAACACAGUCAGGGCUCAAUCGAUACAUAAUAAGGAUAACAUCAAAGCUCUUACUGAAACUUACAUCGGGUUAAUGAGAAAUGAAUGAUUACUCAAGGUAAGGACACAACAUAGAGAUAAGUCGUUUAUACACUCAUUCUCACUUACAACUAUCGUAACGGUAAAUGUUUUUGGUUGUCAAACGAGGACAAUGCUUAACAAGAUAAUUGAAUGAAUGACUAAUUGAACUUUCUUGACACUAGAUUCAAAGAGGAUGCGAGCAUAAAGAUAGUCGGAAAGAAAUAUGCCCGCGACGUUAGUGGGAUUGGCGAAUGCCUCCUCCUGUUUCAAAGCUAAAACCAUUCCGGCGUUGUUGACAUUGUUGGGGGUUGUUGCUUUUGGGCAGUUUCGCUUGAAAUUCCCAAUUUCUCCACAACUAUAGCAGACCUGUUCAAUACUUGAAUCAAAAGUUUGUUCGAGGUCUUGGACUAGUGUUUUGCAACUUCUAGCAAGAUGACCUUUCUUGCCACAACGUUUGCAAAUCAUCUUGCGACACGGGCCAGGAAUAUAAUGAUGAUAACUACACCUGCUGCACCAAGGGAGAUUACCAGCAUACCCAGUGACAGGUGCUUGAGCCUUAGACGAAANUUAGACGAAUAACAGGAGUAGUGGUAGCUUGAACUAUAGGAACAACGGCAGGAUUGGUAGCAACUUGUACUGCCACAUUUUUCAGCUUCUUGGAGGGUCCUUGGGAACUAUGACCCUUUCGCUUUUUCCAGAUAACCUUAUUACUCUCAUCAAACUCAUUCUGAUGCUCCUGAACAUUUUCACGGUUUGGGGGUAGGGGUUAUAUCCUGGACUAAUGGACUUGUUAGGGUUCAAGAUCGUCAUUGUAGCCGUCACUGCAGCAGAAACAGCCAGCUGGAAUAUCACAGGGUCGAAGUGAGAUGAGGGUGGGGACGAAGGGUCGUUGUUCUUCGAGCUGGGUUCUUUCCUUGAAGACAUCUCGAUCUAAAAGUUUAGGAAAAGAGGAUACUAAGUCCUCUAAAUUAAAUCAGGAGAUAUGAAACAAAGGAUAUCUCUUUAUGACAGACAUAUAAUUCUAUUAGGCGAAUAUGCAGGAAUGAAUUAUCAAAGCAGACAUUUAUCGCUAACAGAAUAAUCGAGGGGAAAUGCUUGAAUCAGGAAUUUCUACUACAAGGUUGGAUCCAGAAAUACUCCUAUAUUAUUUCACGAUUCACCGCAACGACGAUUCGUUGUUUGUGGUAUUUGGGUAAGUUUUAGGUAUGCCGCAUUCCACAGUCACUCCCAAGCACAUGUUGGCCGUGUCUCGAAUGAAUAUAGUUGAUCAGGCUAUAUUGAUCCUAGACACGACUACAUAACUGCCUAGGUUUAACUGUAGCGUACAACACCCAUUUACUUAUGUUUUGUUCUAUUUAUAGAUACGAUUUUCGACAGCAAGGAUACUUGUAUACUUUUUGAAAAUACUUAUAUUUGAGAUAUACUUUUAGUUCAGAGCACUUAGUCCCCUUAAUGUUUAUAGUAUUAUACCAUGUAAAGUUUGGUAUACUUAGUUCACUAUAAAAAAGGGCUCUGAUACCAAUCUGUCACACCCCGAAACCGAAGGCGGAAACGUCUCGGGGCGGAGGUGACUUCAUGUGAAUCAUAACCAAUAUACAUAGUAAGCGAAGUAAAACACAAAACAUUACAUUACAUAGAUUUCAUUACAUCAGUUGAAAAGUAAAGUAGUACAAGUUUCAUAGAUACAUAGUUUAAACAAAAGAAAGACGAAUCUUCUACGCAUUCCGUCUUCACCAAAAGAGAUCGUCGGGUACCUGUCUAAAGUGGACCUGAGAAUACAAGCGGUUUGAAAAUCAGCAUAAAGCUGGUGAGUUCAUAAGCAGUUUAUUUUAUGAAAAGAACGAGUUCCUUUAGUUUCCUGAAAAAGUGGUUAACCAAGAAAAUCCCAUAUUUUCUUAAGUGUUAGACACCAAAUCCAAAUUGUAAUGUAAAAGAUGUACAAAUGAAAACAUGAUUGUUCUUAUGAUUUGAAAAGUUUAGUUAUUUAACUUAUUACACUUAUCUGGUUACAAACUACUGUUACUUAGUAAAAUCCUAUACUUUCCUAUAUGUGUAAGUGUGAACUAUUGCUGAUUCUGUGUGAGCUAACUGAUAUUGAUUCCGAUUAUGUUCAUUAUUAUUCAUAGGAAAACCCCAUGUUUUCCUGAAUGUGUGUGUAUACUUUUACCAAUUCUAUGUACGCUAACUGUUACCGAUUCUGACUAUGUAGAUUGUUAUCCAUAGGAAAACCCCAUGUUUUCCUGAAUGUGUGUGUGUGCAUCAUUACCGAAUUUGGUUAUGUUCAGUGUUCUCCCCAGGAAAACCCCAUGUUUUCGUGAAUGUGUGUAUGUGUGUGCCUGUCAUCCUUGAACGUACAUUAGCUUUACUACGUACAUAAAGCUAGAAAAUGAGUCUAAAGCGUUAAUAAUCUAGAUUGCGAGUCCUUAACCAUACUCAGACUAGAUAUGACUCGAGUCGUGGCCAGUAUCCUUUUUAUGACUUUCGUCACCCUUGAACCUUUCGGUUCGGCUGUAGCUAGCAGCCAGGUGCGGGAUUGUCAGUCCCGUAUAGAUCUAUACACUCAAGUCACGCUCUCCUACGUUCGGAGAUUCUGGUUACAGGGGUAGUCCUCCACUCUCGUGCCACGGGACGUGUUACAAAGGACGUGUCUCCAAUCUUUAAGAUUACUCAUUACUUCUCGCCUAGGGGAAGUAGUAUCUAUGACUAACUAGGUUCUAACGUACCUGUCCUUUACACUCGGGCCUAGGUGUUAUUAUUAAGGACAUUACAAAUGUUCUAUGUUUUCUAAUGACGACUAUCCAUUUACACUCGAGCCGAGGUGCAUUAUUAAAGACAUUACAAUGUUCUAUAUUAUCAAAUGACUGUUGUCCUUUACACUCGAGCCUAGGUGUAUUAUUAAUGACAUACCGAAGUUUUAUGUGUUCUUGAUGGUGUCUGACUUUUAUACUCGUGCCUAUGGCAUUUUAUUACAGACUUUACAAUGUUUUAUGUUUUCUAUCUAUAUAAGUAUGAAC